CGAGCGAAAUAAUUGAGAGCUUGCUUUUGAUUAUUUUAGCGGCGGACGGGUGAGUAACGUGUGGGUAACCUGCCUUUUACUGGGGAAUAAUCACUGGAAACGGUGACUAAUACCGCAUACGGUUCUUGGAAGGCAUCUUCUGAGAAAGAAAGGAUUUAUUCGGUAAAAGAUGGGCCCGCAUCUGAUUAGCUAGUUGGUGAGAUAACAGCCCACCAAGGCGACGAUCAGUAGCCGACCUGAGAGGGUGACCGGCCACAUUGGGACUGAGACACGGCCCAAACUCCUACGGGAGGCAGCAGUGGGGAAUAUUGCACAAUGGGCGAAAGCCUGAUGCAGCAACGCCGCGUGAAGGAAGACGGUUUUCGGAUUGUAAACUUCUAUCAAUAGGGAAGAAAAAAAUGACGGUACCUAAAUAAGAAGCCCCGGCUAACUACGUGCCAGCAGCCGCGGUAAUACGUAGGGGGCAAGCGUUAUCCGGAAUUACUGGGUGUAAAGGGAGAGUAGGCGGCAAGGUAAGCGAUAUGUGAAAGCCUUAGGCUUAACCUGAGGAUUGCAUAACGAACUAUCUAGCUAGAGUACAGGAGAGGAAAGCGGAAUUCUUAGUGCAGCGGUGAAAUGCGUAGAUAUUAGGAAGAACACCAGUGGCGAAGGCGGCUUUCUGGACUGAAACUGACGCUGAGGCUCGAAAGCGUGGGGAGCGAACAGGAUUAGAUACCCUGGUAGUCCACGCUGUAAACGA
rnacentral:rRNA from 1 species